rnacentral:rRNA from 1 species
AUUGAACGCUGGCGGCAUGCUUUACACAUGCAAGUCGAGCGGCAGCGCGUGGGCAACCCUGGCGGCGAGCGGCGAACGGGUGAGUAAUGCAUCGGAACGUAUCCUCGAGUGGGGGAUAACCCAGCGAAAGUUGGGCUAAUACCGCAUGAGCUCUGAGGAGGAAAGCGGGGGACCUGCGUGUGCCUCGCGCUGGAGGAGCGGCCGAUGUCCGAUUAGCUAGUUGGUGGGGUAAAGGCUUACCAAGGCGACGCUCGGUAGCUGGUCUGAGAGGAUGAUCGGCGACGGUGGGACUGAGACAGGGCCAAGACUCAGACGGGAAGCAGAAGUGGGGAAGUUGGGAAAAUGGGAGCAACCGUGAGCCAGACGUGGCGAGGGAGUGAGGAAGGCGUUGGGGUUGGAAAGGUAAACCGGACGGAACGAAAAGGGAGGGACUAGGUCGGAUGGCUGGUGACGGUACCGGAAGAAGAAGCACCGGCUAACUACGUG